AAGGACUACUGAUUUAUUCUUCUCUCCUCUCCAUCUGCUUGGUGCAGGAGCAAGUAAAGGCAGAGAGAGAAAAGACAGUGAGGACAUUCAGACAACUACACCAGUUUCUAAAAGAACAGGAAAAACUAUUGCUGGCUCAGAUGGAAGAAGUCAUGGAAGAGAUCAAAAGAGAAAGGGAAAACCACCUAGACAACCUUGAGAAGGAACGUCAGUCUUUGGAAAGUAUCAUCCAGGAGAUGGAGGAGAAACUUCAACAACCAGCAGUUGAUCUCCUGCAGGAUAUUGAAAAUUUCAUAGAGAGGUGUGAAGUACCGAAGAGUUGUGAAAAUUCAUGCAUAACAUUCCCUGCUGCACUGAAGUGGAAGAUCUGGGACUUCUGUGACAUAAACCCCCUUCUGGAAGGAAUCACAAAGCAAUUUCAAGGUAGGAAAGAAGAACAUCAAGGCUUUCACACUGGGAUU
rnacentral:lncRNA from 1 species